rnacentral:rRNA from 1 species
AUACGGAGGAUGCAAGCGUUAUCCGGAUUUAUUGGGUUUAAAGGGUUCGUAGGCGGAAAAUUAAGUCAGUGGUGAAAGCCUGCAGCUCAACUGCAGAACUGCCAUUGAUACUGAUUUUCUUGAAUUUAUAUGAAGUGGGCGGAAUGCGUCAUGUAGCGGUGAAAUGCACGGAUAUGACGCAGAACACCAAUUGCGAAGGCAGCCCACUAAUGUAAUAUUGACGCUGAGGAACGAAAGCAUGGGGAGCGAACAGGAUUAGAUACCCCAGUAGUCC